AUUGAACGCUGGCGGCAUGCUUUACACACGCAAGUCGAACGGCAGCACGGGUGCUUGCACCUGGUGGCGAGUGGCGAACGGGUGAGUAAUACAUCGGAACGUACCUUAUCGUGGGGGAUAACGCAGCGAAAGCUGUGCUAAUACCGCAUACGCCCUGAGGGGGAAAGCGGGGGAUCGAAAGACCUCGCGCGAUUAGAGCGGCCGAUGCCUGAUUAGCUUGUUGGUGGGGUAAAAGCCCACCAAGGCGACGAUCAGCAGCUGGUCUGAGAGGACGAUCAGCCACACUGGGACUGAGACACGGCCCAGACUCCUACGGGAGGCAGCAGUGGGGAAUUUUGGACAAUGGGGGCAACCCUGAUCCAGCAAUGCCGCGUGAGUGAAGAAGGCCCUCGGGUUGUAAAGCUCUUUUGUCAGGGAAGAAACACCGGCUCUAACACAGUCCGGGAAUGACGGUACCUGAAGAAUAAGCACCGGCUAACUACGUGCCAGCCGCCGCCGUAA
rnacentral:rRNA from 1 species